UUUUUCUCAUCGUCUGCUAAUGAAGUGUCACCAAAAACACAUACAGGUUUAACACCAUUCAUCUUGCCAUCAGUUAUGGGGAUAUUGAUGGUGUUUGGAUUCUUAGUGUUCAUUUACUUAUCAUGCAGACAAAAUAAAGAAGGAGUGCGUCUGAGAGGCGUCAUUCAUGUCUUGGCUGAUAACCUGUCCGAUAAAGAAAGUG